AGUGAACGCUGGCGGCAGGCCUAACACAUGCAAGUCGAACGGCAGCACAGAGGAGCUUGCUCCUUGGGUGGCGAGUGGCGGACGGGUGAGGAAUGCAUCGGAAUCUGCCUAUUUGUGGGGGAUAACGUAGGGAAACUUACGCUAAUACCGCAUACGUCCUACGGGAGAAAGUGGGGGACCUUCGGGCCUCACGCAGAUAGAUGAGCCGAUGCCGGAUUAGCUAGUUGGCGGGGUAAAGGCCCACCAAGGCGACGAUCCGUAGCUGGUCUGAGGGGAUGAUCAGCCACACUGGAACUGGGACACGGUCCAGACUCCUACGGGAGGCAGCAGUGGGGAAUAUUGGACAAUGGGCGCAAGCCUGAUCCAGCCAUGCCGCGUGUGUGAAGAAGGCCUUCGGGUUGUAAAGCACUUUUGUCCGGAAAGAAAAGCGCUCGAUUAAUACUCGGGUGUUAUGACGGUACCGGAAGAAUAAGCACCGGCUAACUUCGUGCCAGCCGCCGCGGUAAAAC
rnacentral:rRNA from 1 species